CACGUAGUUAGCCGUGGCUUUCUGGUUAGGUACCGUCAAGGUACCGGCAGUUACUCCGGUACUUGUUCUUCCCUAACAACAGAGCUUUACGACCCGAAGGCCUUCAUCGCUCACGCGGCGUUGCUCCAUCAGACUUUCGUCCAUUGUGGAAGAUUCCCUACUGCUGCCUCCCGUAGGGGAGUCUGGGCCGUGUCUCAGUCCCAGUGUGGCCGAUCACCCUCUCAGGUCGGCUACGCAUCGUCGCCUUGGUGAGCCGUUACCUCACCAACUAGCUAAUGCGCCGCGGGCCCAUCUGUAAGUGACAGCCGAAACCGUCUUUCAGCUUUUCCUCAUGAGAGGAAAAGGAUUAUCCGGUAUUACGCCCCGGUUUCCCGGAGUUAUCCCAGUCUUACAGGCAGGUUGCCCACGUGUUACUCACCCGUCCGCCGCUAACCUUCCGAAGAAGGUCCGCUCGACUUGCAUGUAUUAGGCACGCCGCCAGCGUUCUCUGAGUCCAGGAUCGAACUACUCUGACGACUCGCCGAGGA
rnacentral:rRNA from 1 species